UCGAUCUGCUGGUUGCUUUAGACCUUGUUCUUUUUGUCAGGCCGGUUCUCAGACCUGGGCAUCUAGUUGUUCUGUUCCCAGGCUCGACACUCUUUGAUGGGGAUUUCUCCCACCCACCUCUCAUCAGCCUACCCACUUCCCACAGCCUUCCAGAGAGGCUGGGCAAACAAGACCUCGUGUUCUGCCAAUUUGUCCAUACAAAACACAGGGAUUUGGGGACGUACAGACUCUCUUGUAGACAAAUGGUAAGUAUUUCCCUGGCAGCCUGCAAUCCCUCACCCCCACCUCUGUCUACACAUAAACACACACUCACUUGGUGCUUUCUCUACACUCUUUGGUUACUGGAUUCUUUACUAUGACUUUCUUUAACCAGCCCUUCUUACAAAAAAAAAAAAAAAAAAAUCCCUGUACUUGCUAAGAAGGUUUCAAAGACAAGUAUAUAUAUGUUUUUUUUAUUUUUUUAUUUAAUUGUUGGUUUUUACUGGUUACUCAUCAUGGCUAUGUUGUUUAGGCUGGGUUACCAGUAAUAAGCAGUAACAGAUCGAAAUAGACCAGCAUUGGCCAGCUAAAUUCAGAUCAGAUUUUUUUUUUUCCAGAUAUCAUCUGGGUACUGUCUAUACCAUGUCCAGUAGCAUUAUGAACUUAAUACUAAUACUAGUAAAUGGUGUAAAAUAGUGCAGAAAUAAGUAUGUAACCCUCUUACUGUAGGUGUCUGGGUUCCACCUGUUUUCAGAUAAAAUGUCUAAAUUGUCUGUGACAUGUUUGGGGUUCUUGCAGCCCUGUUGGAUGUAAAUGGGCUGAGGUCUCAGUGUAUUAUUGUGAGUGGGGCAGUCUAUCAGAGACAGGACUGAGGCCUGAGGCUCCCUGGCAUCCUGAUCAGAGGAUUAGCAGCAUACAGCCACAGGUCAAGAGCAUGCCAGUCACACACACUCUCUUUGACACACACCCACACUUGUCAUUUCACUUUCUCUCACAAACACCUUCGCUUUCACACACGCACGCCUGGAGAGAGCAUUUCUCAACCUCUCACACUUGUGCAGAAGAGGCCUGUUUGAUAGCAGGCUGCGGAUUAGGUUCUGUGUUCUCUUUCAUUCUUAUUCUGAUUGGCUUAUACUCUUGAGAGUGCUUUUUUUUUACUACAGUACAAGCCAAUACAAUGAAGGGGGAUUUUUUUCUCAUGACAUCAUAUUCUCCCAUCCUCCCACAUGUGAAAGUUCGUUUCAGACACAGCCUGGUUUUAAGUUAUUUAUUUUAUUCCUCUGUUUUCAAAUUAUAAAUAUUAUUGUGCUUAUUACAGAUAUCAACCCACAGUUCUACUUCAUACUUUAAGCACAUAUGGCAGGUGGUCAAAGUCUUCUUCAGGAGACAGGGGUGUGCUGGUGUUUGACCAGAGAAGCGUGUCCUGUCUGUUAGUGUACCCCUGCACUGACCCCUGUCCAUCCCUCAAUAGUGCAAUGCCUUGUUGCCCCCAGCAUGAGGUCCCAGCAUCCCCUAGUUGUGAUAGUGGGGGGCACACAGCGAGGGGCCUUAGAGGGGAUGCAGAAUUAGCAGCUAAAAUGGUGAGUCACAUUUCCAUAUGCAUGCCACUGACAAGUGUUAUACUGAAAAACCCGGUACCAAUACGUGUACAAGGUGGCCCAAUGCAACAAGAUCGGGGGGAAGAAGGAGGCGCUGGGGGUUGGGCUUUAAAGGGUGCAGCAAUAUUGUACUAAUUCGUGCAAGAGACUCUCUAUCAAAGUGAAAGACUUACGGUAAUUAACGAGGGGUGAGGGGAAAAAGAGAGGAAAGAAAGAGCAGGAAGAAUGAGUUUGGGAGCAAGAGGGACAGAGAUGCUGAUUUUGACGUUUAAAUGCUGUGUUGAUUAGCAUAUGGUGGUUUGUCCAGACCCAGUAUUUAUCAGCAGAAUUGAAUGUGUGUGCGGCAUGGAUGUGACUUUGUCCCCCCUAAAUUUACAAAGCCAUCUUUUCAGAUACAGCCUCCCCCCACACCCAAACACUGCCUCACCUUUCAAUUCCUUUUCUUACCCCUUUUCUAUGGCCAAUGCAAUUGCUCUUUCUCAAUGGUGUGAAUGUAGAAUAUAAAGGUUGCUACCAACGGCCAGGCAGAUUGUUUUUUCAUGUUCUUUUUUCUUUAUUGAAAUAUCAGUCUUGUCCAGAAAGUACAAUGUGAUCAGCGGAUAUUUACUUUUAUUCUUGACAAAAGUAAUAAUACUAAAAAUGCCACAGAUUUGAAACAUUAGCUCCACAAAUAUGAAAAAUGCAUGAUAAGAAAAUUAAAAGUGCAUUCUGUAAUUAAUAAAUUCAGUUAUCUUUGGUUUUGGUCACAGUUAAAUUAAGUGUUAAAUAAUUAUUUCUAGUUCAGUUACGUUUUAUUAUAUUUUUAUUAUUAUUUUAUUUAUUAACUUAAUCUGAUAAUUAUUUAUUGUGUUUAUUAUUACUGUUAUUGUUAUUUAUUAAUUUUUUUUUUAUGAAAUGAUUAGGCAUUUGUGCCAUACACUGCAUGGCCCCGCUUCUGUUCUCACUUCUCAAUUCUCAACAUUAACUGACUUUUGCUUCAAUAAUCUAUUAAUUUACUGCUUAUUAAUAGUUAGUAAGGUAGUUGUUAUAAAUUUAGAUUUUGGGUAGAAUUAUGAAUGUAGAAUAUGGUCAUUUAGAAUAUGUGCUUUGUAAGUACUAAUAAACAGCCAAUAUGUGAAUAAUAGGCAUGCUAAUAAAAAAUUUAAUAGUGAGAAUUGGUGAUUAUACUAAAGUGUUACAGGUAGGGAUCUAAAAUAUGGUAAUGCAGAGUAAAGCAUUAAUAUGUGCUUUAUAAGUACUAAUAAACAGCCAAUGUGCUAGUAAUGUGCAUGCCAAAACGCCACUGGGGAGUAGUAAGAAAUGGUCCCUAAACAAAUUAUUUGUAUUAAUUGUAUUUUACAUGAUUCCCCAUCUGUGCAAUGAUCUUCUCGUAGUAAGGUAAAGUAUUUCACACUUUUCUCUGAGACUGAAAAAGAGCAGAGCAGGUCACCCAGUGUGGUGCCUCUCAUCUUUUGUGUGCUGGUUUCCUCAUGCCAGCUUUCUGCUGUCACAUUAGUGCAUGUCAAAUACACAACCUCACAUGCAAAUUAAAUCUUACACUUUUAGCUUUUUGUUAGCUCAGAGGCUUCCUUUGCUAACAGGAAGUACUUUUUAGUCUUUCAAACCGAUUUGCUAAGUGUCAUCAUGUUUGUCUUUCCUUUCUAAGUGUCUCUGAGGGGUGUUUUGGAGCGAUUGUUUACACCUGCUGCAAUGGGUAAGUGGGAGCAAGAAUCCUUCAUCAUAUAAUGAGCUCCUGGCAGAACCUCACCACUGAAUAUUUCCCUCUGGCCAGUGGAGUAGCAAACCAGAUAUACAGUUAUAUCAACCAUGUGUGAUUGUGAAGUUUGUGUGGGUAUGUGUUAGACGAUCAGUGAGAGUGGUCAGCCUGUUACAAGUCAAAGUUCAUGGUCAUCAAUGGUUGAGGUAGACGGCUCUCCAUCUGGUGGGGACUUGGCCUCUGAGGGUCAGGGCUUAAAAAGUGUAGAUCUUUGGCACUGCAGCUGCAUGUCAUGAAUUGAAUGAAAGCAGGCACUUGAGCAACUAUGUGUGCACCAAGUAAAAAGCACAAUGUAGGAGCAUUAGUAUGCUAAUGAGGUGCGGGGCGACAGGUGGCCUGCUAGACAGCUCAAUUAAGCAGCUCGUUAAAGGCCAAGCUAACGAAGCGGCCUGCACUGCAAGCCUCAACAAACAAUGUGACUGUGCAGGCUACAAAUUGCUUCCAGCGGAACAUUGAGAGGAUGUGCCACCCAUUUUUUAAAGAUGUUCAGGUUUUUGGUGAACAAUUAGUGUGAGGCUGACGGAGAUGGUCUCGACCCCUGGUUGCUGCGAACAUUAUAGGGAUGCAGAGGAGGGAUGGAGAGAUGCGUUCCUCAUAAAGAAUCCUGCUGAGACAAUAGAACAGCACACAGGCACUUGGGGAACAGAAGGGUGACACAGAGGGCAGCUCUUACCCACAACAACUCUCCUCCUUUGAAAACAAAACCCCAACCUGUUACUGCUUCAAUCUGUCUGUGGGAGGGGAUGCUCGUAAUAAAGCUGCCAGCCCCCUUGUUAGGCAUCAUGAGGGUAAGUGCAUGUGUAUGUGUCUGAGUGAAGGAGUACAGGAAUGCUCUCUUUCAAGCGAAGUUUGGGAGUGAGAGCUGUCACUCUUUUUUUCAUAUGCAUGUUUUUUUGUGUUCUGUCACAUUGUUUAAAGCAAGCAGAUAUGUGUGUGUAUAUAUAUAUAUAUAUAUAUAUAUAUAUAUAUAUAUAUACAGAUCAACAAAACACUAUAUUUAUUCAAGUGGUAAAAUAUAUAGAGCCAAAUGAUCACUCAGGAUUCAUAAAUAAUAAAUAAAAAAACCUGUAUGACUGGCUUUUUAUGUGUGAGGAAUAUAGAUCUAGAUGUGAAAGUCAUUUGGCUCCAAAAAAAAAAAAAAAAAAAACCCACUGAGUUUCACUGAAUGGACCAUCCUUUGUGUUCUAAAGAAAGAUUAUCAUGAGCGUGAGUAAAUGAUUAGAAAAUAUUUUUUGGUGAACUGUGCCUUUUGGUGUAGAUUUUAUAAGAUGCAAAAUUUCUUCUUGACAUCAGCUCCGCAUCCCCCCUCCUUCACACAAGAGCACAUAUACAAUCACGUACCCCUCUACUUUUUAUCUUUCCCUCUUGCAGGAUCAAGGGAGCAGGUUGUGGUAACAUUUGUAGCAUUUGGCUGCAGCAAAUCCCACAGCUUUUUUUCUGAAAAGAAGCAGCCACCUUAAAAGGGGGGCUGUCCUCCAGUGAAGACCCUGGUCUUUCUCCUGCUCUCAGCCUGCGCUCAGCGGUCUGCAUGCCCCUCACCAUCGCUUGCAAAUCCCCCUUUAUCCGCUGGCAGCCAGAUGGGGUGGCAGGAAUAAUAGGCAGAGCCUGAUGAGCACCAUUCAAUUUGUCCAGCCGUGUAAAGGAGCUUGUAAGCCGUUCCAUUUGAGCAGGGUGUAAUAGUAGCCAGGGGAGCAGAGGCUAUGUUAAGACUUAAUUACCUACUAAUGGCUGUUGUAGGGACAAAAGACUUGUGUAGACCCCAACAACUUACACUCCUGUAAUAGAGGAGAAAGGCUGCGAGAGGAAGGGGUUGGGGGAAAUUGUUUGAGAUGUUGUGGCCAGAAAUUUGUGAUAUGCAUGUGUUAAAAAUGUCAUCAACACAACUGUGUUAAAGGUGUGUAUGAGGUGUGGAUGAAAAGAAAAAGGAGAAAGAAAAAGACUUUGCUGCAUGUACUUUGAUUUUCUUUAGAAAACAUUUUGUCUCAAAAACCUGUUAGAAAAGGUUUUCUUUUUUUUCUUUUUUUUUCAUUGUUUUUUUCUUUUUCUUUUCUUAUUCUCUUUUUUCAGUUUGAGGGAAGAUUAGCAGGAUUAAGACUGACUCACAUAUGCUGCUUAUCACUAUUGGUAUUCAACACAAGCCCAACUGCCACCCAGAUGGGGAGAGAAAGAGAAAGACAGAGGGUGAGAGGGAAAGUUUUCCUCUGAUAUUAAAGCAUUGCUACACUGAAUCAGAACUGUUUGGAAUAAUUGUGGAAGAGAAAAAGGCUUUUUAGUGAGAACGGGAGAAACCGUUAGAUGGUGAGAGGAGGGAAUCAUAAUGGAUUUAUGAUGGAAAAUAGUUCAAGGGGUGCAGGAUAUAGAGUGGGGUCCAAAAAUGUUAAGACUAUAUAUAUAUAUAUA